rnacentral:rRNA from 1 species
UACAGAGGGUGCAAGCGUUGUUCGGAAUUAUUGGGCGUAAAGCGCGUGUAGGCGGCCAAGCAAGUCGGGUGUGAAAGCCCUCAGCUUAACUGAGGAAGUGCGCCCGAAACUACGUGGCUUGAGUACCGGAGAGGGUGGCGGAAUUCCCGGUGUAGAGGUGAAAUGCGUAGAUAUCUGGAGGAAUACCGGUGGCGAAGGCGGCAUCCUGGACCGGCAUUGACGCUGAGUGAGCGAAAGCCAGGGGAGCAAACGGG